CGGGCUGAGGCAGAGAAAGAAAAUUCAGUGCCUGAAGAAAGUAGCUGGGAGAGCAGGUUUGGAAGCGUAGCCCUUGCAGCCCAGCCGGGCUGACAUCCCUGCCUGCAUCUGCCCGGGCUGCCUGGCCGUGGGGCAGUGGGCAGGCAGAGCUGCUGCCCUGCCUGCAGCCUGCCAGAGGCAGCAGGGACAUCCCAGCCUUUCCCUCUGCCUUCCCCCCCUCCCCCCCCCCCCCCCCCCCCCCCCCAGCCUGAGAAGUUGGGAAUAAUUCACGCGGCCAAUAAAACAAGUGGCAGAGAUGGACAGUGUUACUUAAAUAAACAAGGGUCUCUUUAAAAUUCUCAUCCACUUCAGAUGUCUAAAGUAAGAUUGUGAUGAUUUUGUCACGGUUUGGUAAAUUUACCCCUUUAAGAGGCUUUCAUAAAUCCCAGAACACACCUUCAGCCAGAUUUGAAUAUAGAUUUAGGUUUUAAAACCCAGAAGCUGGGAACACCGCUUUAUCAAAGAGAAUUUCCCUUUAGCUUAGCAAUGUGUCGGAAUGGCUCUUGCAAAGAUUGGAUCUGAGAGGGGGAAAAAGGGGGAACCUUCUUUCCUGGAGCAAUCCUGCACACACUUUGCAGCUGCCUCUGCCUUCAGCCUUCUGCAGCUCGGGGAAAAGUUGCAAAAAAAAAUUAAUAAUUGUUGCAGCUGUAGGAACUUGAGGGUUUUUUUUUAAAUGAUUUUUUUUUUUUUUAACUUUCCAAUCUCUUCUGGUCCAUUUGGAAAGCGUUUCAGAGCAGGUACAGUCCCAGAGAGCCAGACUAGCUGGGGCUAACGGGGAGUGAGUGGAGAUGUGUGAUUUUCUGCCCUCUAAGAACUUUGUGCUCAGAGAACCAAAAUCUGCUUCUGGGAUGAAAAGAAACUGUAACUUCUGCUUCUCAGGGCUGUGGUCCCACUUUGAACAUCUGGACUGGUGGCCGCAGCUGCAUUCCCUGGGAGGAGAAGCCCACGUGGAGAACCAGGGGCAAAGCUGAAGGCGGGAUUGAAAUCUUCACUCCAUAUGUGCUGGUCCAGCAUCGAGGGGACGACGUGGCAGCAGCUUGUCCCAACUCUGCUCACUUUAGAAGGGAGUUUGGGGCUCUCCCAGGUCCUCCUCAUUCAUUUUGUGGACCCAAAUCGUCACUUACACAGAGGUCAGCUUGCGGGCAGCCACCCUGAGAGCUUACGAGAAUAUUUAAGCUCUGGAUGUGGGCACCUGAUCGAAGAAAUCACAUUACCACAACUUCAUGAGUUACUGUUCAUCAGCAGAGCCCCAGAAACUCACUGCUACCUCAUAACCCAAACUAGGUGUCUGCUUCAGUCCUCAGAGCUGCAACUACCUCAAAUAACAGGUAAAACCCGUGUCUGUUAUAAACCUCCCUUCUCUUGGUGAUCUACUUUAAAAUUUGGAUGGGGUAUGCAUGUACACAGCGCAAGUUGCCCAUGACCUGCUAUAACCUCGUGGCUUCCAUUUGUAUCCCCACGAGUCAGGCUGGCUAUUUCAGUCAUGGUUUUGGGGGGCAUAAACUCACUGUGGGCUGUUCAUGGAUGUUAAGGUCAGCAAUAACUAUGACAUUGGUCUGGCCUCUUACAUACUGAUGCAAUUUGGCAUUGAAAUUCCUUUCUCAAAGCCAGCAAUGCUGGUAACAAAUAUUUUUGGGGAAAAAACCCCAGCUACUCAACAUAAAGAAUCCAAUCAGUGGAGAAGUUGCUACAUCCCUUGGCCCCGGAGAUAACGCAAUCUAUUGUGGAGAGCGUUAGCCUGGAAUUCGUAACGUAAAGCCUCUAGAUUUCAGAGGCUACUAGAAAAUUACAUUUUCAUUAAUGUUUUGACUAAUUAUUCUCUUACAGCCACGUAGAAAGGUUACCUGGUCUCUCAAAUGUGGUAUGCAUCUAGUAUGCUAGCAAUUUUCCUUCCUUUUCAUUCCUCACAGGACAGAAAUUAGACAUUGUCAUUCCAUAUUAUUUGUGACAUGUUGACAUUAUAAUUUAAAAGGAUGCAGCAGUUCUGAACAGCUGGAGAGUAAUCCUGAACAAUCCUUGACAGUUUCCUUUGGAGGAUGAAUGCCCCUCCCUGGAGAACUGCACAGUCUCUUAUUUUAAACUAACAGCUAAUUUUAGACAGUUUGCCCUCUUAGAAAUGCAUGCCACAGAGACUUCUCUAUAUGGUGAACAGCAGUGACCAGAGAUAAGCACCCACACAGAAAAAGAGAGAGCUCUAAAAUAGAUUUUUUUCUCUUCUAAGAGACAUGACUUGUUUGCCGUAUUGCCUGAUGGAGCCAAAGAGAGACUCUCAUUGCUGGUGCUCUCUGAGACAGCCCUCCCUCGUGCUGUGCUGAGCUGAAAGCUUCGUGGAUGCCGCAGACACUGUGGGAUUGCGGUGGUUUACUUCUCCUCAGAGCCCUGGGGGAACUGGUUUAAGCAGAGGGGAUUUUUCCCUCCCCUCCCCACCCACCAGGUUUGGCACACUGUGCUUGAAACCUCUUGCUCCUGGAAGGGAGCAGGACGCAAUCUGCAGCAGGGUCACGCAGCACCUCUGUCUCUCAAAGGUCUUGGAUGCAACGCCGUUGAGUGAUGGGGGGGCACGAGCCAGCAAACACCUCGCGGAAGGUGGAAACCCGCUUCAUAUGGCUUGGCCUUGUGGGUUGUUGAGAGAAGGGAGAAGGCUGGGACCUGGGGCAUCUCCUCCAGACAUCUUGCCAGCAGGAGGGGAAGCUGCCGUGCCUGUCGAACAGAGCCCCGCUUCUCCUGCCCUUCUGCAGCUAUGGUCUAGCCUUGAGGACAGGUUCAAAUGCUCCCUACCAAUGAGUGCUUGUGUCUUUAGCCAGAAAUGCCUUGACUUUUUUUUCUUUCUUUCUUUUUUUUUCUUCUUUUUUUUCCCCGAAAAGUCCUGACUUCACAUCAUCAUGCUGCUGGGACAUCCCUGGCAAAGGUAUGUUGCUUGCAGAUCAGACAUCAGGCAGGUGACCCAUUUGCCAAGUCUGUGGGGUGAUUUGGGUUCAGGUUAAGGGUAGACAAAACCUGCUGAAAUUAUUAUUGUUUUAUUGUGUGUCGUGUAGUCAUCGCAAGGACAAACAAGAAGCACAAGAGAAGUGGUUCUCUCUUGUCACAGGAGCUAACACAGAAGGGGAGCUCUCCUGAAAAGCUGGUUCAUGCUCUGCAGUUCUUGUCUGUCCUGGGUACAAGAGCAAGAGCAAAGAAGGGCUGAAGGGACAAACCCUUUUGUGCCAUGGACUGAGCAAAAGCCCCCUGUGUUCAAAUAGGUGCAAGGCUGGGUCAGACCUGAUUUGUGCCCAACCACAUUUUUCACAGAUUUGCAGCAGACAUUAGUGUGGUCAAUCUGGUCACUGACAAUUGAAUACCACUUCACUGGGACCACUGAAAGGCUUCGCACUAGCUCUGAUGGGGCUUUGGUCCAGCCUUUAAUCUGUACAAGGUUUUUUUCCAUGCUGCACGUCUCCUCUGGGGAACAGUCUGUCUUUUCUGAUCAGGAACUGCAGCUGGUUGCAGAAUAAAAAUGUCUGGAGUUGGGCUAUGCUGGAUAUUGUGCCCUGUGAAGUCAAGGAGAAACUCAUCACUGGUUUCAAGGACAACAGCUUGAGGUCUCUUCUUCAGCUGUCAUUCAGGAGUUUGCCUCAUGGUUCCUACCAGUUAAAUAUUUCUAUCAAACAAGGACAGUGCUCCAAAGAGGAAAGUCUGACAGAAAAAAAAAAACCCCAAACCAAACAGAAGAGUUCCUGGUUCUCAUUUCUCUAAUUAAAAAGACCCCCCUCAACUCUAAAAGCUCAAAUCUGGGUGUAUUACUUUUCAAGAAGAGAAUACCUCCCUUGCAGAGUUUAGAGCAGCAAGCUUAAAAAUCCCGGUUUUGGACUGAGGUGAUUUUAAAAACAAUUUCACUGUAUUUAUCCUGUAGUUGGAGGAGGCAAUAAGCCAUGCAAAAGAAAACCCCGUGAAUGUAAAGAGACUGAGUGGACUGAUACAAAUCCACCUCUGCCAGAUCUGUGUUGAGAGGACUUGGUCACAAGAGUAAUGCUGUUCCUGUGAAGAAGCAUUUGCAAGCUCCAGCCCUCAGUAUAGCAUGUGGAGUAGCUGAACAGAAAAUAUAUUCUGCAAGCUUCAGAGAGACACACCCGCUGGCUGAUCUAGCACCGACAGACACACAGCUCCAGCCCCAACCAAACCACCCCAAGGUGACUGCUGUGAUGUGCUUUUAUUGUGUGCUACCAGGGAUAAAUUAGGGUAAAUCAGGUCAUUUGCAAACUAACUGCAUUUUUAGUGUGAUUGCAAAAUUAUGGGAGGUAGAUUACAAUCAUCCCAAUAUCUGCUGUUCUGUCCUUAAUUUGGUCUGAUUUUUAUUUACCUUUUCUUCUGCUUUAGUUAGGUUUUACUGGAAGAAGAAGGAAGGAGGACAUCUGAAUUGAGUAAGAUGAACUACUACUUCUUAGUGAGUAGCUACCCAGGAACCUUUAUCAGUCUCUAAAAAUAUCACCCGUGGGUUCCUGGGUUAUCUCCUCCUUCCUAAUAAAAAAUGGCCAUCAGGAGUAAUUUUUUUCCAAACGAGGAACAUCACACUAGGCUUUCUAUUUUGCACUCUAAAUAAACGGUAGCUUUUAAGUUGCCCCUCUCGUAAUUUCACAUGCUGUUCCGUGUACCAGAGCAUAAUGAAUAAAUAUCAUAAGCCACAGCGCCUGACAUGGUUGCUUUACACGACGGUCUGCUCUGCAGACAUGCCUUACCAAAAAUUCUCUCUUUGAAGUCAAGAGGAGAUCCACGUGGACAAUAGAUACCUGCUAUAUGUAUGACCCAUCAGUUGUAAAAUAGCUGUGUAAUUUCCCUAAAUUAUUCAGAUAAUUUCUCCUCAAAUAUUUCUUGGCUCUUAAGCAUUUUUUCUCAGCCCCGUGGUGUAUGAGUUACACAGACCCUAAGGGAUACUCAUUAUUCACCAUGCUCGCUCUCUUAGACUUUCCAUCUGGGUUCCCACAACCACCUCCCAGUAUGAGCUCUGGGUCACUGGAAACAUCAGUACGACUCCAGUUGGGAUCUUCACCUAAAUCUCCUCCCUUUCACCUGGCCACAGUAUAUUACAUCACAUCCAACCAACAAAAAUCCUGCAUAUCAGCAGGGCCAACAGUGGGGACCAAACUGGAUGAAGAAAGAAACAUUUUUCAGCAUUUGCGUUCAUUAUUUUAAUUGACUUCUCCUUUCAUUUGUUCCCCUUCUGUGCCCUCCGACUAUGAGUGUUCAAGCAGCUGUAGUAACCCCCAGGAAAAAAAAAAAAUAGUUGUGCUAAAUGAGAUUUUUAUGUGUGGGUGUUUAAGUAUCCGCGUGAAGCAAAUUUCUACCCUCUUCUCAUCAGAAUGGGAACGAGACCAUGUGAGUGAUGUGACCAAUUACCACCGAGCACCCCAGAGCAGCUUCUGAAUAUUCACGUCCAAUUGCUACUUUGGUGGAACAAUUGGUUUGAACGGUUUGAAAAGGCAAUGAUGUCAAAUGUGCGGCGUGAUUAAACGCAGAGAAAUUACCAGCCGUUGAGCUGAAAAAGAAGCUCUGUUUCCUUCCCAGGGUAAUUCUGCUUUCGAAUUUUGCUCUGAUAGGAGCAGGAAACACCCGAAUCUGCCAGGGCAAAGGUGCAGCUGAGUUUGGAAGGCGGCAGAGACUGGGACAUGCAUGGGAGCUUUGAUACGGUUGCAGCAAGUCAAAUGCUUCCUCUUCACCCUCAUCCUCACGCAGAACCACACUUCGACCCCAGGUAGAGCAACUCAGCGGCACAUUUUGCAAGUACACCAUGAUGCAAAUGUAAUUUGUAUCAAAGAUUUUUAGGGCCAAGUAUCUGGGACUUGAAUUGUCCGGACAACUGGCAAAGGCGACGCGUUUUUCAUCAAUAUCAGCCGCAUUUGGGAGCUCUUCUGCUUUCUGUACAGACAAGGAAUAUGUUAAACACACAGUCCUGCUGCUUGGUUCACACCUAUUUCUGUCAUCACUGAAAAUGGCCCAUACUCUUCUGAAAAAUAGACCAUUAAUUCCCCCAUCCAGCUCUGUCCUGUUUUAAAAAUGCAUAUACCAUAUGUUAUAGUUCAGUAGUAGCCUCAGUUUUAUGGCUGAGUCAUACAGAUCCAAGCGUUAGGAGAAACAGCAUUUUUUUAUUGUAGUGCACAGAGAAGUGUGUGGUUCCCAGAUGGCAGAAGGGAGCUGGGAGCACACAUGAGGAGAAAAAAGUAAUACGUCCUCCAGAAUCAGAUCUUAUGCCGAGCCCCUGUCAGAGAGAGCAGGCACAGAAACGCUGCCCAUCUCCGGCUGCUCAGGUCUGGGGCCGGCUCCGAAAACAAUUUCUUUCCCCCCGGUCCCCUUUGGGGAAAGUGAGUGUGCAUACUCUUGUUCAAAAAAAAAAAAAAGGUUUUUUUUGUAACAAGCGACUCUCACACAUUUUAUGAAUGUGCGAAAGGCUUCUUAAACAUGAUGCAGGAGCUAAGAUGAGGAAAUAGCCUGUAUAAAAUCCUCCCUGAAACUAGGGAACUUUCUUUUCCUUUCUUCUUGUUUCCUACCCAGAGAUCUGAGCUAAUUUUCCCUAUCCAUAGGCUCCCCCCACCCCCUCAAAAAAAAAAGGGGGGGGGGAGACUGUAUUCACUAAUUAUACAUCCUGAAAAGAAUUUGGUUCAGUGUAAGAUGAUCCUAGUGAUAUGCUAAUCCUUUUUUCUGCUUGGUGCAGCCUGAAGCCUGUGUCUAACAUUUUUUUCAACUGUAUGACAAUAAAAGUUGUGGCAACAAAAGAAAUAAAUGGGCAGCUAAAGAAGGUAUAGCUGAAACACAUGGCAGACCAGUUCUCUCCUCUCCUUCUGGCUGCUCUUUUGUAGGCUCUGGUUUGGUAUCCUCAAGUCAAUAGCCGAAAGCCAGCCACCUUAGCAACUUAGUAUGACACCCAAGCCCUCUCUCUUUACAUUCAUGAAUAGUCAGCAAGCAGCAGACAAAAUAGAACUAAUCUUUUUUGACAGAAUUGUUCAAUUUUAGAGGAAAGGCUUUUGAGGCACCUUCCAUACAUUUGCAGAAUAUGAGACAACAAUGGCCACCAUCACAUUUUACAAAAGGACGACCAGGGGUGUGAGCGGGCACACACGCACGCACAACGGCCGUUCCAAUAAAAUAUUGCAGCUAAGUUCAAGCGAUUGCAGGAUAUGCCUAUUGUUAGGGGGAAAGCUGGCAGGCAAGAAAAAAUAAAUAAUUUUUAAAAAAAGAAAUCUCUAUUGUUUUGUUGCUGAUUAUUAAACGUACACAUCCCCAUAAUGUGCGAUUAGGGUUAUUUGUCUUGAUUAACCAAGUUAAGAGAGCUGAUUAAUAUCCAGUCUUUAAUUUCCUGUCAUAGGCUGAUAACUUCAUCUUUUUUUUUUUUUUUUUUUUUUUGGACCAAUGAUUCUUAUUGUGAAAUGCAUUCAAUCCAGCAGAUUCUCGCCUGCAUUUAAAAGCUGGUUUUGCCAUUUCAAAAUCCUGUAACACAGCAGCCACUCACAAGUCUAGUAUGUGCAGAGAAGGACAUUCCUCCUUUUCCCUUCUCUCCCCUCCAUUUAAUGCAAGCCAUAUCUCUGUCUCCAAACACAGUCCGAGUAGAAAAGAGAAGGAAAUAAUAAUAAUAAUAAUAAUAAUAAUAAUAAUAAUAAUAAUAAUAAUAUAAAAUCUACCCAGUCUAUGGGCAAAAACAGAAGUUAGCAACAUGGUCCAUGCAGCUGCAACACUACAUUUAAAAUUCAGUUUACUCCUAGGAAGAGGGCUAAUCCUGCCCCUGUAAUUCCCUACAGCCAAAAUGUACCCCCCUCCCUGAGUGACAGUGCAAUGCAAAGACACUCGCACGCUUAUCUUCCCCAACCAGAUGGCCGACUUGGAUCAAUGCACACACGCCACGAUCAAUGGGAGCGAUAAAGAAUUAGGAAAACAGUGGUACAUGCUCCCAGAAAGCUUGUACACUGCAUAAUUAUUUUAUGAUUCUACACAUGGCUACAUGUGAUACUGGAGUCAAGAAGGAAAAGGAUAAUUAGAGAGCCAGAAAGCACCCGUACUGCACUACACACUUUGUCAGUCAGCAGUUCCCACUCGGCUCAACUCACCGCCGUUAUCUCCUCUCCUGCCCCCUUGCAAACGAAUUUAGGGAAUAUGUAAAAUAUUAGGGGGAGGCGGCUUCUGGGUUACAGAGACGGGAUACAGGAGAUUAUCGUGUCCUGUGAUACGACAGCAAAAGUUUUUGGCUGAGGGAUGGGGUGGACUACGCGAGCAUCACUCGGGGAGCGGAGCGUGGGGUGGCAUCUGCGGGGCAUAGGGGUACCCGCGAUGAGCAGGGGCUGCAUCUGAACCCGUCUAGGGCUUUGUUGGGAGAGGGACGUAUCCACGUCCAUUCAAUAAAAUAUAG